rnacentral:rRNA from 1 species
UACGUAGGGGGCAAGCGUUGUUCGGAAUUACUGGGCGUAAAGGGCGUGUAGGCGGUGCGGUAUGUUGGACGUGAAAUCCCCGGGCUCAACUCGGGGCGGUCGUUCAAAACUGCCGUGCUAGAGUGUGGGAGAGGGAAGUGGAAUUCCCGGUGUAGCGGUGAAAUGCGUAGAUAUCGGGAAGAACACCUGUGGCGAAGGCGGGUCUCUGGGCAGUAACUGACGCUGAGGAGCGAAAGCGUGGGGAGCGAACAGG